rnacentral:tRNA from 1 species
GCAGUCGUGGCCGAGUGGUUAAGGCGUUGGGCUAGAAAUCCAUUGGGGUCUCCCCGCACAAGUUGGAAUUCUGUCGACUGCG